ACAUUAUUUUUGUGUAACCCUUGAGAUUAACACGAAUGCUAUUUGGAAAAAUGUAGAAAAAGAAAUUUCUUGUGAAAACCAAAUUGAAAGUAGGACUAUCGUACGUGUAGCGAAAGAAAGUUAAGCGAAUGGCUUGCAAUUUGAAAGACGAUAGUAAAGUGUGUGCUAUUUGUUGGGACGAGUUUGCAACACCAAAAAAUCUGAAAUGUGGUCAUACAUUUUGUCUCUCAUGUUUAAAAAGUUAUCAGAAGAAAUCUGAAAACAGAGAUGAGAUAAAAUGUCCACUAUGUAGACAGAAGCAAAAGGUGUUCUUCGGAUGUCUGGAUAAGCUACCUGAUAAUUACUUUGUGAAAUUAAAACCACCAAAGCCUGAUGAAAAACUUUGUUGCAGUUUAUGUCCCGAGAGGACUCCUUUAAAACCAUGUUCCCAUUGUGACUUGAAACUUUGUCCUUCUUGCAAAUGCUCCCAUAAAAAGGCAUUAACGCUCUCUAAUGAUGAAUAUGAAGUCAGCUCCGAUUCCGGAUCGGAUGAGGAUGAGGAUAAAGACCUCAUUGACGACGGGCUUCUUCCAUUUCAUCUAGCUCUUUCGGGACAAUUUAUCAAAACUAAAUUUAAUGCUACUUUGCAAUCUUCCUUUUCAAUAAAACCAAUGUCAUCUUAUCCAGGGGACGAACAAAACAUUUUUGUCAGUAAUAUGCAUGAAAAUGAAACUGGGCUUUGUGAAAUCAUCACAUGCUACGGUCCUGAAUGUGUUCGUGUUGAUAUCGAAGGAACUGAACUGGACAGACGUUUCUACGACCAAGGAAUAUCUUGUAUCAUUGGCAUAGGAAUGGAACAGAAAAUCAUAGCUCAUUUUCACGAAAGAAUGCUCCUUAAAGAGGAAGACGGAGAUGUCCAGUUGUUUACAAAAACUGAAAACUUAAACCCAACAGCUGUGUGUCAGAUUAAUAACGGACAAAUUGUUUGUGUUGGCUGGUGCAGGGAUCAGCCUGGUAAAUCAAAGGAAACAUACAACAAUGACAAAAUGGGGGCCCUUCAUUUUUACGAUAGACGUGGACAUUUUUUAAAAAAGAUAACCAGGUUCUCCAGUGAAAGUUAUAUGAGAAAGCCUAGAGCAAUGUCGUAUUGUAAAUCAAAUGAUACGAUCUGCGUAUCUGACACUGCAAACAAAUGUGUCUAUAUUGUUGAUCCUGAAGGAGAGUUGCUGAACAGAUAUACUGGCGUUUUUUUAGGAAUAAGUGGCACAUUCUUGGAUCGAUUCUCCGUCUUCGUUCCGGGUCCAGUUUGCCACAACGAAGGAGGUGAUAUAUUUGUGGGGAAUAGAGCGGAUCAUGCCAUUCAUAUUUUGAGCCCUAUUGGACAAUUUUUGGGGUACCUUGCUUCAAGAUGCGACAUAGGAUUUGGAUCUCCAUUUGCUCUUAUGUUUGACAGUGAACAUCGACUCUGGGUGGGCGACUUCAAGGACGGAAAGAUCAGGGUUUUCGAAAUCACCAGUUACAAAAAUUUCAUAUAGAGAAGACCUUCAUCAUCUUCCUUUCCCGGACAUUCACUUCCGUUUUUUAGUUCCGUGUUCUUCUAGUUUCAAGUUUACUACAAAAAAUGAAUUCUCUAAACACUGCGAUCUCGCCCCUUUUUAAACGCUGCAAUUUACCCUUUUAAAUAAACAUAUUGAAAUAUUUG
rnacentral:misc_RNA from 1 species